UGGGGAAUAUUGGACAAUGGGCGCAAGCCUGAUCCAGGGAUGCCGCGUGAGUGAUGAAGGCUCUAGGGUUGUAAAGCUCUUUUGUGCGGGAAGAUAAUGACGGUACCGCAAGAAUAAGCGUCGGCUAACUUCGUGCCAGCAGCCGCGGUAAUACAAAGGGGGCUAGCGUUGCUCGGAAUUACUGGGCGUAAAGGGUGCGUAGGCGGUCUUCGAGUCAGGGGUGACGUCCUGGAGCUCAACUCCAGAACUGCCUUUGAUACUGAGGAUCUUGAGUUCGGGAGAGGUGAGUGGAACUGCGAGUGUAGAGGUGAAAUUCGUAGAUAUUCGCAAAACACCAGUGGCGAAGGCGGCUCACUGGCCCGAUACUGACGUUGAGGCACGAAAGCGUGGGGAGCAAACAGGAUUAGACAGCCUGGUAGGCCACGCCGUAAACGAUGAAUGCCAGCCGUUAGUGGGUUUACUCACUAGUGGCGCAGCUAACGCUUUAAGCAUUCCGCCUGGGGAGUACGGUCGCAAGAUUAAAACUCAAAGGAAUUGACGGGGGC
rnacentral:rRNA from 1 species